rnacentral:rRNA from 1 species
CCAACAGGGAUUGCCCCAGUAACGGCGAGUGAAGCGGCAACAGCUCAAAUUUGAAAUCUGGCCCCUAGGGUCCGAGUUGUAAUUUGUAGAGGAUGCUUUUGGUGAGGUGCCGCCCGAGUUCCCUGGAACGGGACGCCACAGAGGGUGAGAGCCCCGUCUGGCUGGCCACCGAGCCUCUGUAAAGCUCCUUCGACGAGUCGAGUAGUUUGGGAAUGCUGCUCAAAAUGGGAGGUAUAUGUCUUCUAAAGCUAAAUAUUGGCCAGAGACCGAUAGCGCACAAGUAGAGUGAUCGAAAGAUGAAAAGCACCUUGAAAAGAGGGUUAAAUAGUACGUGAAAUUGUUGAAAGGGAAGCGCUUGUGACCAGACUUGGGCGCGGCGGAUCAUCCGGGGUUCUCUCCGGUGCACUUCGCCGCGUCUAGGCCAGCAUCAGUUCGUCGCGGGGGAAAAAGGCUUCGGGAACGUGGCUGCUCCGGCAGUGUUAUAGCCCGUUGCAUAAUACCCUGCGGUGGACUGAGGACCGCGCAUCUGCAAGGAUGCUGGCGUAAUGGUCACCAGCGACCCGUCUUGAAACACGGACCAAGGAGUCGUCUUCGUAUGCGAGUGUUCGGGUGUCAAACCCCUACGCGUAAUGAAAGUGAACGCAGGUGAGAGCUUCGGCGCAUCAUCGACCGAUCCUGAUGUUCUCGGAUGGAUUUGAGUAAGAGCAUACGGGGCCGGACCCGAAAGAAGGUGAACUAUGCCUGUAUAGGGUGAAGCCAGAGGAAACUCUGGUGGAGGCUCGCAGCGGUUCUGACGUGCAAAUCGAUCGUCAAAUAUGGGCAUGGGGGCGAAAGACUAAUCGAAC